rnacentral:rRNA from 1 species
GACAGAGGGUGCAAACGUUGUUCGGAUUUACUGGGCGUAAAGCGUGUGUAGGCGGCUUGGCAAGUUGGAUGUGAAAGCCCACGGCUCAACCGUGGAAGCGCACCCAAAACUGCUUCGCUCGAGUCUCGGAGAGGAAGGUGGAAUGCUUGGUGUAGAGGUGAAAUUCGUAGAUAUCAAGCAGAACACCUGCGGCGAAGGCGGCCUUCUGGACGAUGACUGACGCUGAGGCACGAAAGCGUGGGGAGCAAACAGG